ensembl:rRNA 5S_rRNA 5S ribosomal RNA
GCUUACGGCCACACCUCCCUGAGCAUACCCGAUCUCGUCUGAUCUCGGAAGCUAAGCAGGGUCGGGCCCGGUUAGUACUUGGAUGGGAGACCGCCUGGGAAUACCGGGUGCUGUAAGCC